UUGAAGUUAUGAGAAUAAAAUCUUUGCUUCUGUCUCUGCAGAGAAGGUCGAGGGAAGAACAUGUUAAUUAUUCUCAUGUUUCUCUACAGUGCUCCCCAAUGUUCCUAUUCCAGCACAUCUUCAAUGUGUCAACAUGCAGGUUUUUCGUAUUUCCAUCAUCAUGCCGCCGUAUGGGUAUAUAUUCCUUGCUUCAGCACCGAACAGGGAUAUAUGUCGUGGCGACACUGGUGGAGCAGCGAUGUACAAUGACAUGAUUUAUGGUGUGAUUUCUUUUGCUGGAAUAAAGGCAUGUCAGGAACCAACUGCAAUCUUGGAUGUGUGUGAAUACCUGUGGUGGAUAAAAGCAGCAACUAGGAUUCAAUAAAACAUGAACUAUAAUAAAAUAAAAUUCUCAUCAAAUUUCCUCUCACAUAUAAUUUUAUAAUUUUAUCUUCAUCAGUUUGAUCCACAUGUUUGUAGCAUUAGAAUAAAUCAAUAGUUGUUUUUUUUUUCUCACCUGAUCUUGACCUCCCUAAUGGAGCUUUCUCUUCACCUGAAAAUUGAAAAAUAAAUCAAUAAAUGCAUGAAAA